rnacentral:rRNA from 1 species
UAAGAGGUCCCGCCUGCCCAGUGACUAUAUGUUCAACGGCCGCGGUAUUUUAACCGCGCAAAGGUAGCGCAAUCACUUGUCUUUUAAAUGGAGACCUGUAUGAAAGGCAUCACGAGGGCUUAACUGUCUCCUUUUCCCGGUCAAUGAAAUUGAUCCCCCCGUGCAGAAGCGGGGCUGUUUACAUAAGACGAGAAGACCCUAUGGAGCUUUAGACACUAACGGAGACCACGUCAUAAGACCCCUCUCAAAGGACGAAAGCAGUGGAGGACUCUCGUAAUGUCUUUGGUUGGGGCGACCGCGGAGAAUAAUAUAACCCCCGCAUGGACUGGGUACUUCCCGUCCCUUGAAAUCAGGGCCACAGCCCUAAUUAACAGUAAUUCUGACCAACACAGACCCGGCAACGCCGAUUAACGGACCUAGUUACCCUAGGGAUAACAGCGCAAUCCCCUUUGAGAGCCCCUAUCGACAAGGAGGUUUACGACCUCGAUGUUGGAUCAGGACAUCCUAAUGGUGCAGCCGCUAUUAAGGGUCCGUUUGUUCAACG